UACGUAGGGUCCGAGCGUUGUCCGGAAUUACUGGGCGUAAAGGGUUCGUAGGUGGCCACUUAAGUCAGACGUGAAAUCCCUCAGCUUAACUGGAGAACUGCCUUUGAUACUGGGUGCCUCGAGUGAGGUAGGGGCGUGCGGAACUGAUGGUGGAGCGGUGAAAUGUGUUGAUAUCAUCAGGAACUCCGGUGGCGAAAGCGGCGCGCUGGACCUUAACUGACGCUGAGGCGCGAAAGCCAGGGGAGCAAACGGG
rnacentral:rRNA from 1 species